rnacentral:rRNA from 1 species
UACGUAGGCACCAAGCGUUGUCCGGAUUUAUUGGGCGUAAAGAGCUCGUAGGCGGUUCGGUAAGUCGGGUGUGAAAACUCUGGGCUCAACCCAGAGCCGCCACACGAUACUGCUGUGACUCGAGUGCGGUAGGGGAGCGGGGAAUUCCUGGUGUAGCGGUGAAAUGCGCAGAUAUCAGGAGGAACACCGGUGGCGAAGGCGGGUCUCUGGGCCGAAAUUGACGCUGAGGAGCGAAAGCGUGGGGAGCAAACAGG